rnacentral:rRNA from 1 species
UACGGAGGGUGCGAACGUUUAAUCGGAAUCACUGGGCGUAAAGCGCGCGUAGGCGGUUCGUUAAGUGGGAUGUGAAAUCCCCGGGCUUAACCUGGGAAUUGCAUUUCAAACUGGCCGACUAGAGUACGGUAGAGGGAGGUAGAAUUUCCUGUGUAGCGGUGAAAUGCGUAGAUAUAGGAAGGAAUACCAGUGGCGAAGGCGGCCUCCUGGAUCGAUACUGACGCUGAGGCGCGAAAGCAAGGGGAUCAAACAGG